GGCCCCAUCGUCUAGUGGUUUAGGACACUAGGUUCUCAUCCUGGUAACUGGGGUUCGAUUCCCCAUGGGGUCACCA
rnacentral:tRNA from 3 species